rnacentral:misc_RNA from 1 species
AACGCACAUUGCGCCCAUUAGUAUUCUAGUGGGCAUGCCUGUUCGAGCGUCAUUACAACCCUCAAGCACUGUAGUGCUUGGUGUUGGGGCUUCUGCUGCCUGUAGCAGGCCCUGAAAGACAGUGGCGAGGUCGCCGUGACACUGAGCGUAGUAGUUUACACCUCGCUUGUGUGAUUCGCGGCGGUUUCUCAGCCGUGAAACUCUCCAAUUUUCACAAGGUUUGACCUCGGAUCAGGUAGGAAUACCCGCUGAACUUAA